GCUUACGGCCACACAGCCUGGUUCACUCCUGAUCUCGUUUGAUCUCGGAAGCUAAGAUAGGUUGGGCCUGGUUAGUACUUGGAUGGGAGACCGCUGGGAAUACCAGGUGCUGUAUGCU
rnacentral:rRNA from 1 species